rnacentral:lncRNA from 1 species
UCUACAGAGCUUCCAUCCAUCCCAGUUGUUUCUGUUCCGGCUGAUAUGCCUUCCUCCUCUGCGGGUCCUAUUUCUUUAGCUGGCCUUACAGUUCCCAUUUUUCGGGCCAACACAUUUACAGCCCAUCAGCAAGCUACCAUAUUGGCCAGUUUAAACAACUGGAUGUCAGUUGCGACAUCCAAGUUGUCCACAUUGGCCACUUCAGUUGAGGCCCGGUAUGCACCAGCCACUGUCCAGGUUCCUCCAUCUAUUGAAGAAACACUGAAGAUGCUCCUAGCCAACCAGGAGAAGAUGAUUGAGACUCAGGCUGCCUUGACUAAGGCAACUGGGUCACGGGAGCACAAGAAAAUGAGGAAAUCCAGGGCAUCCAAGGAAGAGGUGAAGGUAUUAUGAGCAGAUGUAGACAAUCUAAUGGAGGAUCAGCUGCCUUUAGACUUGUAUUCGAGGAGUCAGCCCCUCCUGCAGUAGUUCCAGUAUUUGAGCCACAACAGGAGAAGGCACCCAAGCCAUCCAGGAAGAAGAACAAGUUGCCCAGCAGUGAGGGAGUCGUGAUUGUGGCUGAGAUUCAUGUCACUCCCUCGGGUUAUGUACCAGAUGUUCCACCGGUCCAGCAGCAGGAUCCUAUGCCAGCUUCAGAGCAGCAGUCAGGGGACCAAUCUGAGGUCCCUGCCACUACAGAGGAUCAUAGAACCACUGGAUACCCCAUGCAUGUGGACCAGGCUUAGGGAGCCCUCUAUAACCUUUCUCUUUGAUUUUAUGAUUAUUUUGGUAGUUGGCAUUGGGGACAAUGCCAACUUUUAUUCGUGGGGGUGCGCCCUGCUAUUUGGAUCUUGAUACAUUUUGAUGACUGUACAUAUUUAUUUGAUUCUUAGUUUAUAUUAUUAGCUUUGAUAGUUGGUUUGUAUAUAACUUCUCAUUUUAGUUACUUUUCUACUUUAUGUACAUAUUCAUCCCCUGUUGUAUAUUCUACUCCCCUUUUGUACAUAUUCAUUUGGGUUUUCUAUUUUCGUUAACAUUUUUCAUUUUUAGUUUUGUAGAUAGGCUCGUAGCCUAUUUAUUUUAUUUUUAAGCCUUUGAUUUUUGUAGUGCCACGGUUCUUUCAAAGGGUAGAGUGUUGUGCGAACCGGGUGGCUCUUCCCAAUGAUCGAUGGACUGACAACCUUCUUAAGGGUUUGAGUCCGUCUUUGUUUUUCUUUCAUUGAUUUUUGAUGUUUUGUAGUUAAGGGUACUUCAAGCAAAGCUUCACUUGGGCCUAACACAUUUGCCUUUGAUCCCAUGGUCAAAGACAUAAUGUUGUGCUUAGGAUGGUAAAAGUCGUGGCCUUGAGACUCUUGUGUUGACCAAACAGUCAUCAUGUGGUCGUGUGGGACCAUUGUGCGCUUGAAUCAAAACUAAGGUCGUUGUGGGCCCUCGACUCGAUAUCCUUAGCAAUCCUUGAGUGUGGGUGGUGAGAAUUUGAUUUGCGAGUCCAAGUCCCAAGCCGAUGGUCUAGAACUGCCCCGAAUGUUUGUUGAGGUGAAAUCUUAGGUGAAAUUUGGCUUGAGAAAUGAUUGUAGGCUCUCCUUGAUCCAAAAUGGUAAGACUGAACAAUUCCAUGACCUACCAAUGAAAUGAUCCCUAGUUAACCCUUUUGAGCCUUUAAUCUUCUUAUUUCAAGAACCAAAACUACAAGUCUAUACCCAUUCUUAAUGAUACCCUCUAUUGGCACCCAAAUAUUCCCUUGAGUAAUGCAAAUGUCUAAGUUUGGGGGGGACAAGAAGGGAAACAAUGUGGUAAAAGGUACCAAAGCAAAAUAAAAGGAAGGCAAUGAAAAAGAAAGAAAAUACAGGACAAAAUAAAAACCAAAUUGAAUAAGGUCAAAAAUGGGGAUUCAAAGAAAACAAAAGUGAAAAGGGUAUAAAAAAGUACAAAAGGAGAAAUGUAUUGAAUUGCAUAAUAAAGAGUGACAUGUGUCUCUCUAACCCCUUGAAAAAGAAGUAAAUACUCAAACGAGUCAAUAAAGUGUGCCAAAAUAAAUCAAAAGAAGUGCUUAAGGGAAGAUUGAACCCACUUGAACAAAAAUAUGUCUACCCUUACCCAAAAGCCUUCACAAUGACUCCACAAAUGCCCUACAUGAUUUUGAGUUGAAGAGAACCUACAUUAGUGGAUACUUAAAUAAGGGGCAAGCAUAUGGUACUUAGAGCCAGACUUGUGACCCUUUUCUUGUGAGAGAUGGGUAAAAUUCUAUCAACCUCGGUUUGUGUGUCAAUGUUCUAAAAAGUGAGGUUCGCUUAGGGAGAGUUGAGGAUGUGUAAGUUUGGGUUCCACAAUGACCAAAGUAAUUGAGAAAAGUUCCUUGAUGAAAUGUGUCAAACCUUGAUGCUUUUGUGUCACACUUCAUCCACAAGUUUUCAAAGUUUAAAAUGUGUUAAUGAUGCAUUCGUAUUGACGGAAAUUAUUAGUUCCACUUGAUUCUUGUUGAGUUUACUUUAAGAUAAGCUGGAAAUACUUGGAUGUUUUCCUUUGAGGGUGGGUCUUAUUAUGUUAGCAUGAGGACAAGCAAAGGUUUAAGUUUAUGGGAGUUGACAACUAGGAUUUUAACAUGUUUUAUGCCCACACUUGCCUAUGCUUUAGUAUAAUUUGCUAUAAAAUAGUCCCAAAAUGCUUACAGAUUGUGCUUGAUUGCAGGUUUGAGCGACAACGUGACGAAAUGUCAAGGAUUGGCUCAAAACAGAGUGAAACCUGCUCAAGUGUCAAAAUACAAAUGAAGUUGUGAACAUCAAGCCUGGUGCGGAUCGUACAACUGUGCAUGCGGCCGCACCAAAGAGUUCAGAGAAGGUGCUAACUGAGAAAGAAUCCAUGCGGCCGUGGUAGAGUUUACGCGGCCCGCGCCCAUCUUGCGCGGUCGCAGUGUUCUGUAACACGGUUCGCGCCAAUAGAGUUCAGAAGAAGUGGAAAUUUGGACAAGUUCAUUCAUGCAGUCGCAACUGUCCUCACGCAGUUCGUGCCAGAGUUUUAUGCGGCCGCACCACAUCAUUAUGCGGUCCGCAUCAACCACUUCAGAGAAGCAAGAUUUGGAAGUCAACCAAGCAGUGCGGCCGCGAUCAUGUUUGUGCAGCCCGCACCAACCCCGUAAGGGCUUUUUGGUUCAGUUUUUUCAGCCCGCUAUAAAUAGAAUAUUUUACCAUUUUUCGGUCAUGUUUGGUAUAUCUGAUAGCUACUGCACUCGUGAUUUUGGCCUAUUUUGGGAAUUUUUAGCUUGGUUCCAUCAUAGAUUAUUGUAGUUUAACAUUAUCAAUUAAUUAAUAUGGAUUUUUCAUCUUCUAUUUCUUCAGCUUCUUCUUUAAUUAUGCCUAGCUAAACCUAUUAGAUAGGGUUGUUGCUCAACCCUAGUGUGGGUAAUUGAUUGGUGUUGCUUCUUAAUGAUAAAUUGAUAUUUGGUGUUUGUUAUUUGGAUUAAUUUUAUGCUUUAAUUAAGGAUUGGUGGUUGCAAACAUUGAUUCUAGCUUAGUGGGUCAUGACUCUUCCUGAGAAAGAGAGUCUAUGACUCCAAAAUUGACCCAACAAAGAAUUGGGAUGUACCCAUGAGAAAUGGUAGUCCCAGUUAACGGGUUAAACCUCGAGAGAGUAAUCACCCUACUUGAACCCUUGUUGCUCGGUUUAAUUGGCCUACUCAAUUGGUCUCGACAGGGUCAAUUGGGCAAAAUUUCUCUUUCUACCGAGAGGUGUAAGACUGGGUACAAUUUUGCAACAGCUAUAACAUUGAUCACAAAUAUGUCAAUCUAUUAAUAGUAGUCUUUGCCCAUUAGUUAACCACCUAGGCGAUGCCACGACCCUAGUGCUUUUCUCUAUAUUAAUCACAACCUAGAAAAUAUCCCUUUAGCAUAAAUUAGUCUUAACUUGUAGUCGAUAAUAGUAGUUGAUAAACAAAAACCAAAAAAUGUUAGAAGUACAAUUAGGAGCAAACACGCAUUCCUAGUCAAAACAAAUAUACAACUCCAUUCAAAGCUCCCUGUGGAAAAUCGACCCCAAUACCACUAUUCGGGUAAAAGUCUUAGCGCCCGCUCUUCCUACCAUUUUGUAAGUUGAGUUUACUGCGAUCACCUACCACCUACUGCAACAAAACAUCUAACUCUAACUCCCGAGUCAUGAUGAGCUGAAUAUCAUGCCUGAGCCCCUUAAUAAAUCUACAGAAUUGCUCUCCAAAUGUAGCAACCUAGGUAGGUGCAUGUCCGGCCAAAUAACUGAAUCUGACGACAUACUCUAAUACUAACAUAGUGCCCUAGUGCAGCUGCUCAAACUCCACGCACCAUCCCUCCCGAAGGGACUGAGGUGCAAACUCUCUCAUAAAUAUCUCUGAAAACUGACCACAUGUAAGUGUAGCUGCAUCGGCCGGGCUACCCAACUCAUAUGCCUACCACCACUUAUAAGCUGCUCCCUAAAGCUGAAACGUAGUAAAAACGACCCCACUCUCUUCAACAAUACCCAUAGUGUGGAGAAUGCGAAGGCACUCCUCUAUAAAACCCAGUGCGCUCUUUGAAGUCAAACCAUUGAAUGUAGGAGGGUCAUAUUUCUAGAACCUUGAAAAUCCGAGAUGCCCUUCUUCGGAUGUUGCUUCCCUAACAAUGGGCUUAACUAGAACCACAUGUUGAGUUGACAUGACACCUGGAACCUGACCAACAUGAACUUGCUGCUUGUAGUGUGGACGGUGGGAGUACGAAUCCCUCCCCAGUCUGAAAGUAGCUGGUGCAACCGGAUUCAACCCCUCCAGAGCCAAUGUGCCAAACAUGCUUGGGAAUUGUGCUAAAGUCUCCUAAAUUCUGAGGGUAACAACAGGUGCCUCCGGUACCUAUCCCCCAGUUGGAUCCACUGGUGGCUCCUCAAUAGAUGUUCUAGUAGGUGCUCUAGCAGCGACACGUACUCCUUGUCGGCCUCUCCCUCAAGCGACACCUGCUCUUAGAGCAGCAUCAUCGAUAACAACAGAUCGUAUCCUCACCAUCAGUGAGAGAAUGGAAUGAGAAAUGUUCAAACUCCAAGAUCAAUAAGCUCGCACGAUACGAAUGAAAGAAGUGAGAUUGUCCUAAUAGUUCUGUAGCCUCUCAAAGAUAAGUACAGACAUCUCUUUAUCGAGCCGCAAGACUCUACCAAACGCACUUAUGACUCGUAGAACCUAUGAACCUAGCGCUCUGAUACCAACUUAUCAGGACUCAAUUUUCCCUCCGUUGGAUUUUGUGAUGGCACCUAGUCUUAGGGAGUAGGUAUGUCUAACAUUCACAUAAUAACAACAAGAAUAAAGUAAAUCUAACAGUAUCGCUAUAGAAAUCUUUACUAAACUUAUAAAUUCCCAAAAUCGGCAGUAUAAGUCAUAAGCUCUACGGAGUUUCGCUAAAAUUUCUAAACUUGACUAUAUGGAAAUAAGUACAACAGUGUGAAUACUGAAUAGGAAGGUGAAUUCAAAGCUUGCGAAUGCAGCAGCAGGAUUACCUUGAGUCUUCUCGGCCAAAAUCUGCACAGCUAGUAACGGUCAAUACCCGGAUAUUUAUAAAAAUAAUUGUAUAAAAGUGUAGUAUGAGCAUACUAGAGCAGUUCCUAGUAAGUAUUAAGACUAACCUCAGUGGAGUAGUGAUGAGGAACAGUCAAGACAUCCACUGAUCCAAUAAAGAGAACAAGUAUAAGAAUAGAAUCUAUACUUGCAAUAACAAUACACAGUAUGGAUAACAAUACAAAAAUUGCAAUAACAAAAGAAAACAGCAAAUAACAGCGGAAUGCCAUAAUAAGGACGUAAAAAAGUGAACGGAAAUACAACCCAAAUCCAAAAUCACAAAUACAAUAAAGACAAGUCAUAACUCAGCAACUACGGCAGUUUUCACAGUAGGCCGUAGCCAACAAACUUCAAUCAAUUAGUCAAAUCCUCCAACCAAUGAAAAUAUUUUGAAAUAAACUUCCUCCAAAUAAAUAGUUUCAAAAAUAGUUCUUUAAAUAUAAAUACCUUUCGAAUAUAAGCUUUUCAAACAGAUAUCCUUCAAAGAUAAGUCACCCUGUGACACCUCAUCUCAUAAUCAAACAAUACGGGUCUUAAUACCUGAAGCCUAAUACUUGGCAUCAUGUUCCCUCAACACACCUUAUAAUCAUACUGAUAAUUCAUGGGCCAAAUAGAGUCACUCUCACAUGGAAGGCGAAUAAACAAGGGUGUGCAUCUAUACUCUACAAUAUCAAGGAAACCUCUUAUUAGAUAAAGAUGUUAAGCCACGUGUAUGCUUGUGAAAGGGACCUAACAUAUUUCAUACCAGUUAAUAAGCAUAAGGAAAAGAACGGACAACACGUAGAAGGUUUACACAGGGAUAGGAUCAAUGAAAAGCACAAUUCAGUACAUAAUGAUAAUAACAUGGGAUCUCCCAGGAUACCGUCUGUAGUCCCAAACGUAAAUGUGCAGGGGGUCUUUCGAAAUACUAUUUCUUAGUCCAAAAGUAAAUAUUCAGAACAGAGGGAUCUAUCGUGAUACCGUAUCAUAGUCCCAAACAUAAAUAUGCAGAGGGUUCUACCUGAAUAACGUUCUGUAGUCCCAAAGUAAAUAUGCAGAACAGGGGAAUCUACCGGGAUACCGUCUCGUAGUCCCAAACAUAAAUAUGAAGGGGAUCUAUCGGAAUAUCGUUCUGUAGUCCCCAAGUAAAUAUGCAGAACAGAGAAAUCUUUCGGGAUACCGUCCCAAAGUAUAUAUGUAGCGCAACCAAUAGAAAUAAUAGAUACAGCGGGGCUGAAAAAUCGUACAUCACCACAACAAGUAAAACAACAAAAUGAAACUAAUACAAAUUACAAUGAGUAAAUCAACUCAAGAACUUUAAAUCACAAAAAAUUGGUAGAACUAGUUCACAAGAGAUACCCACAGUACAGAAGGUUGGGCAUAAAGGGAACAAUUCAACAAGGGAAAACUAACAUGUAGCAAUGAUCCCAAAAUAUAUAAGUCAAUAAUAAGGAAUCCAACACGAGUCAAUUAGUCCCAAAUAAAGUCAAGUCAACGAAGAUAUAGGUUAUCUAAACUCGCUUAAGGUUGAGCAAUUGUGAAGGAUAUUCCACAAUUCAAAUAGUGGUAAGCAACAGAAGAUAAUCAUAAUUCCAGUUAAGACUAAACAAUCAUAUGAUGAUAUAUUAAUAAUUUCAAUUAGGCCAAGAUGUUAUGAAAAGAUAGCAUGAUGAUAGAAGAGGCAAAAAUCUUCAGUUAAGUCAAAUAAGAGUCAAUCAGGCAAAGAGUGAAUCCUAAAGCAAUUCGUUCUAAAUAAUGCAUGUGGGAGUGAAAAAAGCAAAUAGGAACUCAAAUAUAUCAUGAACAACUCGAGACACAGUUAGUAUAAGGACCUAAGAACCUUAAAAGCCAACUUUCCACAAAUAAGUUUGAGCAUGCACCCUUCACCUCGUGCACAGAAACUACAAUCAGCAUAGAGGACUCAAUUCCAAAGGGAAAAUGCCCCACACAAGGUUAGAAUAGAUACAAACCUCAAAGAAGACAGACUGAUACUCAAAAAUGUACUUAUCGAGUGAAAAGACCUCCGGACGACUCAAAUCCAACCAAAAUAACUCCAAAGCACAAAUGAAACUCAUAAGAGACCAUUCCGGAUCAUAAAAUCUCAAUCUUUAAAUAAUUCCAAAAAACGGUUCAAAAAUCGACCCUCGGGACCGCACCUUGAAACCCGAUACAUUUUUCAAAAACCAAAUACCCAUUCUGAUACGAGUUCAACCAAAUAAAAUUAUCCAAUCCCGAUACCAUUUGGUCCCUCAAAUCAUGAUUUUUUAUUUUAAAAAUUUUCUUCAAACCCUAACAUUUUCCUCAACCCAAAAACAAUUUAAAUAAUGAAAACAAAGAUAAAAUCAUAGAAUAUAAUAAAUAAUAGGUGAAGAACACUUACCCAAUCAAUUUUUCUUGAAAAAUUCAAAAAAAAAGCUCUCAAUAUGGAAGUCCAAAAUUCAAAAUAUGAAGAAAAUAGCCAAACCCUCGAUUUAAAUGAAUCUGCUAGGACUUCUGCAUCUGCAAACAAGAGAUUGCAUCUACCGGACCGCAUCUGUGAAAUCAGCUAACCAGUCUACGGACACAUCUGGGACGAUAUGGUCGCAUCAGCGGCACCACAGAAGCAAAAGGGAAAUCCCAAGAGCGAGAUUUCUCUGAAUGUGAGAUCGCUUAACCGCAGAAGCAGCCUUCGCACCUACGUGCCAGCCUCCGCUGAAUCAAGCAAGCUCCCAGGACUUCAUGACCGUAGAAGCGGCCAGGCUCACGCAGAAGCGGGGUCGCAUCUGUGCUCCAUGGUCGCAGGUGAAAAAACACCAGAACCAGACCUGUUCAAAACCAUGCAAAACAUUUAAAACUCGUCUAAAAUACACCUGAGGCCCCCGGGACCCCGUCUAAACAAGCAAACAAGUUCUAUAUCCUAACACAGACAUGAUCUAGGUCUCAAAUCACAUCAAACAAUACCGAAAAUGUAAAUCGCGCCAAGAAUCGAGCUUAUGGACUUCAAAAUCUCCAACUUCUAGAACUCAAGCUGAAACCUAUCAAAUCAACUCGGAAUGAUGCCAAAUUUGGCAGACAAGUCCCAAAUGAAAAUACAGAGCUGAUCCAACUCUUGAAAUAACAUUUCGACCCCGAUAUCACAAAAGUCAACUAUGGGUCAAACUUCUCCAUUUUCCAAACUUUACCUUUUCUAACUUUCACCGAAAUGCUUCAAAUUACCCUACGGACCUCCAAAUCCGGACGCAUACCUAAGUCCAAAAUCAUCAUAGAAGCUGUUGAGAUCAUCCAAAACUAGAUUCAUUCUUGCAAUUCGAUUCUGAAUCAUCCGGUAAUUGAAUUCAACUAUGCAUGCAAGUCGAUAAACUAAUAUAAAGCUUAUAAAGACCUCAUUCUGCUAAACAUAGUUUAAAUUCUAAAAGUGACCGAUCGGGUCGUUACAUCCUCCCCCUCUGAAAAAAAUGUUUCAACUGGAAUGUGCCAAGAUUUGCCUCAAAGUCCUCAAAUCACUUAAUGCUGUCUUCCAACAUAUACUCACGGUUGAUCCCUCGUCACCCCGAUCUAUGUAAGCUUGAAGACACUAUCUCAACUACAAUUUAGCCUUUCUAUCAAUACCAAUAAGCCUUAGAGCCAAAAAAAUUACCUUCCAUUAAUUUCCAAAAAAACUCAAUUCUAAAUCUACAUCCGGUAUCAGUCUCAACCAAAUGCAUCAAUUCAUGCCUAUGCACAAAGAGUAAAACCAUGUAACAUGACACAUCACAUAUAAGCCUACAAUAACACUUCUGAUUCACACUACAUGCCCGAAUCAAAUACAACACCGACCAUAAGCCUCAUAUCCGUUAGAACUCUGUUUUAAACCUCCAUAACACUAACAAUGGUACAAGAACCAUGAAAACCUCAUAACUAACACCCGAAUCAACAAGUCAUAACUAACAUCACCGGGCACACACCCCGUAAGCCAAAACUCAAGAAGCACAAAACAAAAAUGAUUGAAUAUUGAAAAAGAAUCGCAUAAAGGAACUAUUAAACAAGCCCUACAAGCAUAGUCUUUUAUCAGUUCUAACCUAGCAAAACAAUAUAAUAAGAAAAGAAUACAAGCAUAUGAAAAAAAUUACAAGGAUCUCAUACCGAUGUAUCUUUCACCACGGUACACAGCCCGGUUCGAACACAUCAAAUCGCAUAAAAUCAUAAGGGACCCGCCCUCAACUCUGAAUUACAUAUAGGAUAUUACAUCAAACCAACUGGAACAUCUCACUAGAUCAAUUCCUUCAAAAAUUACAACAACUAUUGGCUCCCACAUCAGUUGAGCAUAAACAUCACAACUCGUAACAAAAAACACUCAGGAAUCUCAUCAAACCUACCAUAAUAGGAAAUUGGAGUUUAAUACUACUCUCAAUAAUGAAUAGAAAUAGAUGAUAGACACAGUCAAUCACUCAUAAAAUCUCCCCAACAAGGGCAAACACAUAAAUAGAGUGUUAAUCAUCAAAUACACCCAUAAGUGGAGCAGCAAAUAGGGGAACUCACCUAGACAAGCAGAACUCCAACGAACUACGGAUGGUACUCCUCUAUAACAAAUUGAAAGCAUACUUGAAUGACAUCAUCUGGUAUAGCGGCCUUAAGCCUACUAUAUGAAAUACAUCAACGGGUCAGGCCUCCCAUUCUUGGGUGUGCUCUACUCACCUUAAUACCUCACUAUGAUGCAUUUGUCCGAAGUUUGGGACAAUAUCUCAUACGUGGCUAGUAUCUCCAAACUCAUAGAUACCUCCUCGCUGAUGUGGCGGUGGGAAGUGUACGGUGCAGGUACUCUGAGAUCCAUGAACACCUGAAUUACGGUGCGAAGCCUAAAGCGAAAACUGAGCUAGUUGACCCACGAAACUCUACCAUGUCGCACCAUGCCUCCAAAAUAAGGACCAGCAGAUCUCUCUGUUAUACAAGGCCUCCUCGUCUCUUGGUACUCUCUCUCAUGAUCUCAUUUUUCCUCUCGCUCCCGGUCCGACAUGCCCUCUAACUGGACAGAAAUAAAAUAUCUGAAUCCAACUCCUGAGUCAUGCUGAGAUGAAUAUCAUGCCUGAGCCCCUCAAUGAACCUACAGAUUUGCUCUCUAAAUGUAGAAACCAAAGUAGGUCCAUGUCCGGCCAAAUCACUGAAUCUGACAGGAUACUCAAAUACUAACAUAGUGCCCCACCACAGCUGCUCAAACUCCACAUGCCAUGCAUAUCAAAAGGACUAAGGUGAAAACUCUCAUAAAUUCUAAAAACUAACCCCACGUAUGUGUAGCUGCAUCAAUCAGGCUAUCUAACUCAUAUGCCCGCCACCACUGAUAAGUUGCUCCUGAAGGUGAAACAUAAUAAAAGCGACCCCACUUGCCUCAACAAUACCCAUAGUGCCGAGAAUGUAAUGGAAGUCUUAUAUAAAACCAUGAGCGCUCUCUGAAGUCAAACCACUAAAUGUAUGAGGGUUGGGUCAUAUUUCUUGAACCUUGUAAAUCUGAGCUUCCAUUAUUCAGAUGGUGCUGCCAUGACCAUGGGCUGAAUUGGAACCACAUGCUAAGUUGCCAUGACACCUGAAACCAGACCAACGUGAACUCUCUGCUCUGGAGUGUGGGCGGUAGGAGUCUGAAUCCCUCCCUCGGUCUGCAAGUAGCUAGUGCAACCAAAAUUAAACCUGCCUGAGCUAAUGUGCCAAACACGCUAAGGAAAUAUGCUAAUGUCUCCUAAAGUCCAAGGGUAACAACAGGCACCUCCGGUAGCUAUCCCCCAACUGGAGCCGUAGGCGGCUUCUCAACCAAUGUUCUAGUAGGUGCACUAGCUAUGGCACGUACUCCUCAUCGGCCUCUACCUUUGGAGACACCUACUUUUGGAGCAGCGUUAUCGAUAAUAAUAGAUCAUGUCCUCACCAUCUAUCAGAGAAUGGAAUGAGAAAAGUUUAAACUCCGAGAUCAAUAAUCUCACACGAUAGGAAUAAAAGAAGUGAGAUUGUCCUAAUAGUUCUAUAUCCUUUCAAAGAUACGUAUAAACGUCUCCAUACCAAUCCGCAAGACUAUUAAACUCGCUUAUAGCUCAUAGCACCUAUGAACCUAGCAUUCUGAUACCAACAUGUCACGACCCAAUUUUUCCUUUGUUGGGUUUCGUGAUGGCACAUAUUCCUAGGGACUAGAUAAGGCUAACAUUUACUGAAUAAUAAUAAUAAUAAAGGAAAUCUAAUAAUAUCUUUACUAAACUUACAAAUUCCCAAAAUCGGUAGUACAAGUCAUAAGCUCUACGGAGUUUUGCCACAAUUUCUAAAUACAAUUGUAUGGAAAUAGGUACAACAAUGUGAAUACAGAAAAGAAAGGUGAUUCGAAGUCUGAAUGCAGCAGCAGGAUUACCUUGAGUCUCCUCGGCAAGAAUCCGCACAGCUAGUAAUGAUCAAUACUUGGAUCUGUACAAAAAAAUAUACAGAAGUGUAGUAUGAGCACACCACAGCGGUGCCCAAUAAGUAGGGUUGUGCAUUUGGAUCAGAUAUCUGUAAUUCAAACUGAUCAGCUCAAUUUUGGAUUUUGGAUUUUGGAUAUUUGGUUUGGAUUCGAAUUUGGUUUAGUAAAAUUUUGGAUUUUGGAUUGGAUUCGGAUUUGUAUAGUUUGAACCUGAUCCGAUCUGAAAUCCAAAUUUAUUAGGGGAAGUAUAAAUACUAAUUUUAGUUUUAGGGUUAGGUAUAAUCUUAUUUCAUUUUCUCGUUCUCAUCUCUCAUUCCCGCAGAGUCUAGAGACUAUUGCUGGAUACAGAGAAGUCAAUUUGAUGGGUUGUUCUUUUAGUUUGAUGGAUUGUUCUUUCAAUUCAUUUGGUUGGAUACGGAGAUGUCAAUUUUUUUUACAUACCUUUUUGUUACGACCCGACUGGUCGUUUUGCAUUUAGUAUCUCGUUUCCUUAAAUAAAAAUUUCUCCACUUUCUAUAACUAAUUUAUGACUUGCGGGGACGGGUGGUUCGGAAGUUAGAAGAUUUUUGAGCAAGAAUAUGUCCAUUUGCUUAUUUAAGUUUUUCUAUUAGAAAAGCCAAGUUUGACUUCGGUCAUCUUUCAUGGGAAACGGACCCAGAUUCGUGAUUUGACAAUCCCGGAGGGUCCGUGGAAAUAUGGGACCUAGGCAUAUGCCCGAUCGAGUUCCGAGGUCCCUAGCCCGAGUAUUGAAUUUAUCUAUGAAUUAUUAAUUUGAAGUUUUAAAGAAUUAAAUAAACUAAGUAAUCAUUGAUUUUCUAGGUAUAAGGCUCAUAUUUUUGUUCCAACACUUGGUACAUGUCCGAAAGAUCAGUUAAGACUUACCUGUGAAAUUUGGUAUCAAUCCGAGUAGUUUAAGGGCAUUUUGACUCGUUAGAAGGUAAUUAAGAACUUGGAGUUUAAUAUAUUGAUUCAUUUGGUUUUAGGACGUGAUUCCUACAUUUAAUGUUCUUUUAGGUGAUUCGAGGGUUCGAGUAGGUCCGCCUCGUGAUUUAAGAAUUGUUGGUAUGUUAGGGUGGGGCACGGGAGCCCCAAGAGUCAAACGAGUGAGGCUCGAGUGAAGUAAGAACUUGGAAAAGGACUGAAGUUUGUUGCUUCUGUCAUAACCGCAUCUAUGGUUCUUGGACCGCAGCUGCGUUAAUUUGAUCGCACAAGCAAAAAGGGGAAGGCUAUGGAGAAACCACAGAAGUGGUUCCGCCUAUGCGUCCCCUCAGACCACAGAAGUGGUCCAGAUCCCUACUACCCAAAGCUGCAGAAGCGGCCAACGACCACAGAAGCAAAAAAAUUCAUCGCAAGCGGAAAUAGCUAGGGCAGAAGCUCAUUUAAUACGAACUCAACACCAUUUUUAUCACAUUUCACUCCACACAUAGGCAAUUUUGGGGCUUCCAAAGAGACGGUUUCCACAUAUAAUCACAAGGUGAGUAAUUUCCACUCCCCUUAGUUUAAAUACAUGAACAUUAGGUAGAUUAAACACUACAAACUAAGUAAAAAUUAAGGGGUUAGAGCUAGACCUAGGGUUUUAAUAAAACAAAAUUUUAAUCCUGUAAGUUGUUAUGUAAUGAACUAGAAAUCAUAUAUUAGUGAUCCUUAGGUUGUGGAGAACAACUUCUUUCGAAAAAUCUCGGAAUCCUACCACGUGGGCCCGGGGUCGAACUUUAGGAAAUUUGUGCAAAUGGUUGGGAAAUUACAUAAAUAAUUAGAAUUCAGCCUUGUAAGCCUUUAUUGACUAGUUCUUACUUUGUUUUAAUUAGUUUGUGCUCGUUUGGCUAUGAAUUGAGGGUUUGGGCUUGUUCUUGAUAUUGGAAGUGCGCUUCGGAGCGAGGUGAGUCUCCUUUCUAACCUUGAGAGAGGGAAUUGUCCCCAUAGGAUUACAAAUAAGUAAUUGUUGCUAAAUAUGGGGGCUAGGUACAUAUCAGGUGACGAGAGUCCGUGCGUAGCUACUAUAAUAUUAUUUGCGUGGGUAGUUUAGGACCCACAUCAUGCCUAAUUGGGGAAUAUCUCUUAUUUUAAAUUGCCAAUAUGAUCAUUUGUGAUAUGCUAGAGACUUGAGAAAUUUAAAAGUGAACAUAUGAACUUGUUGAGACUUGGUAGGAAUUUCCUUGUAUAUAAAUAAGCCUUUGUAUUCACUCUUGAUGUUUUCUUGAUAAUUAUGGAUCGGUCCAAUAGCCUCGGUGAGAAUAGAUGCAUCUAUGGUUCGGUCUAUUCUACCCUAGGCAGUGCAUAAUUUAUUUUCUAUUGGAGCGGGCCGUCGACCUCGGCAUGUUUGAGCAUGAUAAAUAUAUGCUUAAGUUUAGACAUCACAUGAUUACUUGUUAAGUAUGGAAAAAAGGGAAGAUGGUAAUUGAAUUAUGGUCAAGAAAAGGAAUAUGACUUUUCAUUUAAACUUGUUGUUAUUGGAGAUCCUUCAUGUUGUAUAUCUCACAUUAUUAUUAUAACCUUAGUAAGUACCAAUUCAACCUCUCGUCUCUACCUCUUCGAAAUUAGGCAUUAUACUUAUUGGGUGCAUGGUGUUUAUGUACUCAUGCUAUGCUUUUGUACUUAAAUGUGCAGGAUUUGAGGCAGGUGGAUCUUGACAUCAUUUUGGUGCGCGCCAGUGAGAACCCUUGAGACUUCUACGGUGAGCUGCUCCCCUUUCAUGCCGAUCUGCAGACGAUGAAGUCUUUCUUUGUACUUUUGUUUCUGUCUAUCUUGAUUCAAACAGUAGGAUAGUGUAUUGUUCUUUUGUGUAUAUUCUACUAGUCUCCCGUAGCUUGUGACACCAUGUUCUGGCACACACAUUAGUAGACAUUUAUUUUUUGGUUGUAUAAUUAUUUUGACACAUUAUCUAUCGCUUAUGGCAUUAACCUGAAUCUGACAAACUGUUAUACUUAUUUUUGGUAAAAGAAAAAAAUGAUAACUUAAAUAUAUUUAUGCGUUGGCUGGCCUGACAACGGUGUCGGUCACCAUCAUGACCUAUUUUGGAAAAUGGCUCGUAACAACGUGGUAUUAGAGCUCUAGGUUCACGUAGGUCUCACAAGUCAUGGGCAAACUUAAUAGAGUCUUAUAGAUCGAUACGAAGACGUUUGUAUUCAUCUUCGAGAGGCUAUAGGGUAUUAGAAAAGACUACUCUUGAUUCAUUUCCAUCGUGCAGUUGUCACUAUACUAAAUUUCCUCUUCUAUUCUCUCACAGAUGGUGAGGACCCGUACCACCGACGUUCCAUACCUGGGAGGAGCUGCUCCUUCCGUUGCUAAACUCGAGGUAGAGGCAGGGGGAGGGCACCGGCCCGUGGUAUGGGACGAUGGCAUCCUAUAGCCGUUCUAAAUGCACCACUAACAGAUCCCGCGAGGGACCCCAUUAUUGAGGAGCAGGGAAAGGUGCCCGCAGCAGUUCCUACUCCGAUGGAUUUCAUGACAACGCCAGAAUUUCAGGAGGUCAUGGGCCGCAUGCUUCAGUUCAUGGAUAUUAUGACUCGGGAUAGUUUAUUUCCAGCAUAUCCAGCUACCUCACAGGCAGGAGGGGGAGCACAGACCACUACCACUCAGGCUCUAGGUCAUACAACCACAGUUUAUCAUACUCUGGGUGCACUACCCGUGGAGCGGGUUCAGCCAGUUACUGCAGUGGGACCCCAACCUAGGCUAGUUGUGGAUGGAGAUAUACAGAAUCUAUUGGACAGAUGGACCAGGUUGCACCCUCCAGUCUUUGGGGGUGAGCGUCAUGAGGAUGCCCGGGAUUUCAUUGAUAGGUGUAGGGAUAGACUGCACAACAUGAGGAUAUUGGAGUCGCAUAAAGUCGACUUCACUACUUUUUAGCUGGAAGGCAGGGCCCGUAGAUGGUGGCAGUCUUAUGAACUUUGUAGACCAACAGGUUCUCCACCCCUCACUUGGGGUUAGUUCACUCAGUUAUUCCUUGAUCGGUAUAUUCCACCCUCUGAGAGGGAAGAGCUGCAUCAUCAGUUUAAGCUUCUAGAGCAAGGUCAGAUGACAGUGACCGAUUAUAAGGUGGGGUUCUCUAGGUUGUCUCGCAUACACAUAUGAUACUUCCCAAAAAGGCAGAGAGAGAAUCGAGAUUUGUUGCGGGGUUGCACCCCACUAUCCGAUUAGGUAUGGAUCGAGAGGUAGAGAUAGGCACCGGGUAUCAGCUAGUACUGGAGAUUGCUCGCAUGAUUGAGGGUUACCGUCUGAGGGGUAGAGAGCAGGUGCAGUAGGAUAAGAGCGCCAAAUUAUUCGGAGAGUUCGGGGGUGCCCCAGCUAGGGGCAGAGAUAUCCUUGGGAGGGUUCAGCCCAGUAGGCCCCAAGUUUCAACACCACCACCUGCAUGGGGUGCUCCAACGUGCUCCUAUUUCAGCACCAUGCUCGAGAGUUCUUAUCACCCGCCAGCUAUCCAGGGUUCAUCCAGUGGGUAUUUUAGUGCUAUGUCGGAGAGUUCAUACACCCACCAGCCAUUCAGGCUUCUUCUAGUGGGUCUUCUGGUUUUCAGAGUCAGCCAUCCGAACAGUAGGUCGUCGCACCACAUUGCUUUUAGUGCAGGGACCCAGGUCACAUGAGGAGAUACUGCCUCAGGCUUAGGGGUAAGACAGUGCAGCAGAGCCAGAAGGCCAUGAUUCUAGCCCUAGCAACCCAGCCACCUAGAGGUGGAGGACGGAGUGGUAGAGGUCAUCCCAAGGGUGGAGGCCAGAUGGGGAGAGGUCAUCCAGCUACUACUCACGGAUUCUAGGAUUCCUCCUGGAGGCAAAUACUUAUAUGCAUACCUCCUCUGGUUGAUCCACACCAUCCUCUAUUCUCGUAAGAUGAUACACACUAGCUAACAGCCCGCCAGGCACUACAUGUCAGGUAGAGGCCAGACAGUUGGUGCUCCAGCUAGAUUAUAUGCUCUUCCAACCAGGCCAGAUGCAUUGGCUUCAGAUGCCAUCAUCAAAGGUAUUAUUUCAGUCAGCGGUAGGGAUGCAUCAGUAUUAUUUGACCCAGGGUCUACUUAUUCAUAUGUAUAAUCUCCGUUUUCUCAUUUCCUGGUUAUUUCUUCUGAGCCAUUGGGUGUUCCUGUCCAUGUGUCCACUCUUGUGGGAGAUUCCAUGGUUGUGGAUUGGAUCUACCGGUCUUGUGUGGUUACUUUUUGUGGUUACAAGACUAGAGCAGAUCUUGUGUUGCUUUACAUGAUUGAUUUUGACGUCAUCCUGGGCAUGGAUUGGCUAUCUCCAUAUCACGCCAUCCUUGAUUGCCAUGCCAAGACUAUUUCACUAGCGAUGCCAAUAUUGCCGAGAUUGGAGUGGAAGGGUUCCAUAGUUGAUACGCCUAGCAGGGUUAUGUAUUUCCAGAAGGCUUAGCACAUGGUUAAGAAAAGGUGUUUGUCUUAGGGUGCCAAGAUUGGAAUGGAAGGGUUCCACACUUUAUACGCCUAGCAGGGUUAUUUCUUUCCGUAGGGCUCAGCGCAUGGUUAAGAAAGUGUGUUCGGAUUAUUUAGCUUAUGUUUGAGACACUACCGUAGAGACUCCGAUGAUUGAUUCGGUGCCAGUAGUCCGAGAGUUCGCUGAUGUUUUUCCUUCUAAUCUUCCUAGCAUGCCUCCGGAUUAUGAUAUUGAUUUCUGUAUUGAUUUUGAUCCAGGCACUCAGCCUAUAUCUAUCCCAACAUACCGUAUGGCUCAUAAGAAGCUGAAGGAUCUGAAGGAACAGUUGGAGGAGUUAAUAGCAAAGGGGUUUGUUAGGCCCAGUGUAUCGCCUUGGGGUGUACCAGUGCUAUUUGUGAAGAAGAAGAAGAAGGAUAGGACUAUGCAGAUGUGCAUUGAUUACCGCCAGUUGAACAAAGUCACCAUCAAGAUCAAGUAUCCAUUGCCCAGUAUUGAUGAUUUGUUUGACCAACUACAGGGUUCUAGGGUUUUUUCUAAGAUUGGCUUGAGGUCAGGGUAUCAUCAGCUGAAGAUUCAGGAUUUAGAUGUUCCGAAGACUGUAUUCAUGACUAGAUAUGGCCACUAUGAGUUCCUGGUAAUGUCAUUUGGCUUGGCUAAUGCUCCAGCGACACUUAUGGACUUGAUGAACAUGGUUUCCAGUCCUUAUAUUGAUUCUUUUGUUAUUGUGUUCAUUGACGACAUCUUGAUAUACUCACGUAGCCUGGGGGAGCACGAGCAGCAUCUGAGAGUGGUGCUUCAGACCUUGCAAGAGCAGAAGCUAUAUGCUAAGUUCUCCAAGUGUGAGUUUUGGCUAAAGUUAGUGGCAUUCAUGGGCAUGUAGUGUCAGGAGAGGGUAUUGAAUUGGAUCCUAAGAAGGUAGUGGUAGUUCAUAGUUGGCCACGUCUGACUUUAUUGACCAAGAUCGGGAGUCUCCAGGGGUUAGAAGGGUACAACCGGCAAUUUGUUCGGGGCUUUUCAUCUAUUGCAUCACCUCAUACCAGAUUGACCCAUAGGGGUGCUCCAUUCCAUUCGUCGAGGAGUGUGAGGAGAGCUUUUACAAGCUCAAAACGGCUUUGACUACGGCACCAAUUCUUGUAUUAACUUCCGGUUUAGGGAUUUAUAUGGUAUAUUGUGAUGACUCUCGCAUUGCCUUGGGAUGUGUAUUGAUGCAGGAUGGGUGAUUUAUUGAAUAUACUUCACAUCACAUGAAGGUUCAUGAGAAGAAUUAUCUUGUACACGAUCUAGAGUUGGCGGCGAUUUUUCAUGCUCUUAAGAUAUAGGGGAAUUAUUUGUACGGAGUGUCAUGUGAGGUUUAUACAGACCAUCGUAGCUUGCAGCAUUUGUUCUAGCAGAGGGGUCUUAAUUUCAGGUAGCACGGGUGGCUUGAGUUACUAAAGGAUUAUGACAUUACCAUUCUUUAUCAUCCAGGUAAGGCGAAUCUGGUCACGGAUUCCUUGAGCAGAAAGGUAGGAAGUAUGGGUAGCUUGGCAUUUAUUCCGGCUGAGAAGAGACCAUUAGCUUUGGACAUCCAGUCUUUAGCUAACAGACUUGUGAUAUUGGACGUUUCGGAGCCCAACCGAGUUCUAGAAUGUGUGGUUGCUCAGUCUUUGCUAUUAGGGUGGAUUAAGGCCCGACAGUUCGAUGAUCCACAUUUGGCGUCAGGAAGGUGCCAAGAAUAUUUCUAUUGGCCAGGAUGGUGUGUUACGGCUUCAGGGCCGUGUGUGUGUUACUAAUGUUGAUGGCUUGAGAGAAAGGAUUCUAGAGAAGGCCCAUAGUUCGAGGUACUCCUUUAAUCCGGAUGCCAUGAAGAUGUAUCAUGACUUGAGACAGCAUUACUAGUGGUGGAGGAUAAAGAAGGACAUCGUAGAGUAUGUAUCUAGAUGUUUGAAUUGCCAUUAGGUCAAGUGUGAGCACCAGAGGCCAAGUGGCCUACUUCACCAGAUGCCCAUUCCGGAAUGGAAGUGGGAGCACAUCACCAUGGAUUUCAUGGUUAGGUUGUCGCGGAAUUUGUGGAAGGUUGAUUCAGUAUGGGUUAUUGUGGAUAGGUUGACCAAGUCGACUCACUUCAUUCCAGUGGCGACUACUUAUACGCGGAGGGAUAUGCUCAGAUUUAUAUUCGGGAGAUAGUCAGGUCGCACGGUGUGUGGGUGUCCAUCAUAUCAGACAGAGGCCCUCGGUGCACUUCCUAUUUCUGGAGACAUGUUCAGAGUGAGUUGGGGACCCGCGUAAAGCUCAGUACGGCAUUCCAUCCUCAGACUGACAGGCAGUCGGAGCAGACAGUUUAGAUUUUAAAGGAUAUGCUUAGAGCAUGUGUGAUUGACUUUAGAGGGCAGUAGGAUCAAGUCUUUCCAUUAGCAUAGUUCGCAUACAACAAUAGCUAUCAGUCCAGCAUAGAGAUGGCCCCGUAUGAGGCUUUAUAUGGUCAGUGUUGUCGUUACCCUAUCGGGUGGUUUGAUCCUGGUGAGGCUACGUUACUUGGUAUAGAUUUGGUACAGGAUGCCUUGGAUAAGGUAAAGUUGAUUCACGAGAGGUUCCGCGCAGCUCAGUCCAGAUAGAAGAUUUACGCGGAUCGUAAGGCGCGUGACAUAUCAUUUAUGGUUGUUGAGAAGGUUCGCUUGAAAGUCUCACCAAUGAAGGGGAUUAUGAUGUUCGGGAAGAAGAGCAAGCUAAGCCCAAGGUUUAUUAGUCCCCUUGAGGUGUUGAGGCAAGUUAGAGCGGUUGCCUAUCAGCUUGCUUUACCUCCCAGUUUAUCGGAAGUCCAUCCAGUUUUCCAUGUAUCGAUGCUUUGGAAGUAUCAUGCCGACCUAUCACAUGUGUUGGAUUUCGGUGCCAUUAAGUUAGAUGAGAGAUGGGGCUACAAGGAGGAGCCAGUUGCCAUUAUUGAUAGAUAGGAUCACCAGUUCAGGUCCGAGAGGAUUUCUGCGGUAAGGGUCCAGUGCAGGAGCCUACCGGUUGAGGAGGCGACGUAGGAGUCCGAGGAGGACAUGCAUAGCGGAUGUCCCCACUUAUUCAGCAGUCCAAGUACUUUUCUAUGUCUGUUCGAGGACGAACGUUUGUUUGAGAGGUGGAGAAUGUAACAACCUGACUAGUCGUUUUGUGUUUUCGAAGAUUGUUCCCUUACAUAAAAGUUUACGUACUUGCUUUAAUUAAUUUAUGACUACUUGCAAGGAAGGGUGGUUCGGAAGUUAGAAUAGUUUUGAGCAAGAAUAUGUCCAUUUGCUUCUUUAAGUUUUGCUAUAAAAAAAAGCCAAGUUGACUUCGAUCAACUUUCUUAGGAAAUGGACCCGAAUUCAUGAUUUGACAAUCUCGGAGGGUCCGUGGAAAAAUAUGAGACCUGGGAGUAUGCCCAGAAUCAAAUUCCGAGGUCCCUAGCCCGGGUAAUGAAUUUUUCUGUGAAAUUGUUAACUUGAAGUUUUAAAGAAUUAAAUAAACUAAGUAAUCAUUGAUUUCCUAGGUAUCGGGCUCAGAUUUUAGUUCCAAAACUGGGUACACGUCCGAAAUAUCAGUUAAGACUUACCCGUGAUAUUUGGUGUCAAUCCGAGUAGCUUAAGGGUGUUUUGACCCGUUAGAAGGAAAUUAAGAACUUGGAGUUCAAUAGAUUGAUUCAUUUGGUUGUAGGACGUGAUUCCUAGAUUUAACAUUGUUUUGAGUGAUUCGAGGGUUCGAGUAGGUCCGCCUCGUGAUUUCAGACUUGUCGGUAUGUUCGGGCGGGGUACGGGAGCCCCGAGCGUCAAAUGAGCGAGGCUCGAGUGAAGUUAGAACUUGGAAAAGGACUGAAGUUUGUUGCUUCUGUCAUAACCGCAUCUGCGGUUCUUGGAAUGCAGAUGCGGUCGUUUGAUCGUAGAAGCGGAAAGGGGCAGGCCAUGGAGAAACUGUUGAAGCGGCCCAGGGACCGCAGAAGCGGUUCCGCCUAUACGGCCCCCAGACCGCAGAAGCGGUCCAGCUCCCUAUUGCUCAAAGCUGCAGAAGAAGCCAACGACUGCAGAAGUGGAAAAAUUCACCAAAGAAGCGGAAAUAGAUGGGGGCAGAAGCUCAUUUAAUACGAACUCAACAUCAUUUUUAUCACAUUUCACUCCACACUUAGGCAGUUUUAGAGCUUCUAAAGAGAGGUUUUCCACAUAUCAUCACAAGGCAAGUAAUUUCCACUCCCCCUUUAUUUAAAUGCAUGAACAUUAGGUAGAUUAAACACUAAAAACUAAGUAACCUAGGGUUUUAAUAGAACAAAUAUUUAGUCACGUAAUUUGUUACGUCAUGAACUAGAAAUCAUAUAUUUGUGAUCCUUAGGUUGUGGAGAACAACUUCCUUCAAAAAAUCUCAGAAUCCAAGCAUGUGGGCCGGGGGUCAAAAUUUAGAAAACUUGGGGGAAGGUUGGGAAAUCACUUAAAUAGUUAGAAUUCAACUUUGUAAGUCUUUAUUAACUAGUUCUUACUUUAUUUUAAUUAGUUUGUGCUCGUUCAGCUACGAAUUGAGGGUUUGGGAUUGUUCUUGGUGAGUCUUCUUUCUAACCUUGUGAGAGGGAAUUGUCCCUAUAGGAUUAUAAAUGAGUAAUUGUUGCUAAAUGCUGGGGCUACGUACGUACCAGGUGACGAGAGUCCGUGCGUAUCUACUAUAAUGUUAAUUGCUUGGGUAGUUUAGAACCCACAUCAUGCCUAAUUGGGGAAUAUCUCUUAUUUUAAAUUGCAAAAAGAUGAUCAUUUAUGAUUUGCUAGAGACUUGAGAAAAUGAAAAAUGUAACAUAUGAACUUGUUGAGCCUUGGUAGGAGUUUCCUUGUAUAUAAAUAAGCCUUUGUGUGCAUUCUUGAUGUUUUCUUGAUAAUUAUGGAUCGAGUCGAUCGCCUCGAUGAGAAUAGAUGCAUUUAUUCGACCAUCGGCAGUGCAUAAUUUAUUUUCUGUUGGAGCGGACUGUCGACCUCGGCAUAAUUGCGCAUGAUAAAUAUAUGCUUAAGUUUAGACAUAACAUGAUUCUUGUUAAGUAUGAGAAAAAGGUAAUAUAGUAAUUGAAUUAUGGUCAAGAACAGGAAUAUGAAUUUUCAUUUAAACUUGUUGUGAUUGGAGAUCCUUUAUGUUAUAUAUCUCACAUUGUUAUUAUAUUAUCGUGACCUUAGUAAGUAUCAAGCCGACCUCUCGUCUCUACCUCUUCGAGUUAGGCGGGAUACUUACUGGGUACAUGUUGUUUAUGUACUCAUGCUACGCUUCUGUACUUAAAUGUAUAGGAUUUGAGGCAGGUGGAUCUGAACAUCAUUCUGGUGCGCGCCAGUGAGCACCCUUGAGAAUUCUACGGUGAGCUGCUCCCCUUUCAUGCCGAUCUGCAGCCGAUGAAGUCUUUCUUUGUACUUUUUUUCUGUCUAUCCAGAAACGGGCAGUAGGAUAGUGUUAUUCUUUUGUGUAUAUUCUACAAGUCGCCCGUAGCUUGUGACACUAGGUUCUGCCACACACAUUAAUAGACAUUUAUUUUUAGGUUGUAUAAUUAAUUUGAUACAUUAUUUAUCUCUUCUGGCAUUAACUUAAAUCUGAAAAACUGUUAUACUUAUUUUUGGUGAAAGAAAGAAAAUGAGAAUUUAAAUAUAUUUCCACGUUGGCUGGUCUGAUAACGGUGUCGGGCACCAUCAUGACCUAUUCUGGGAAAUGGGUUGUGACAUUGUAUCGUUAAAUGGGAAUAGUAUAUGAUAUUUGAUAUUAUUCGGUUUUGAUAUUUGAACUUUGAAUACAUAUGUUUUUGUAAAUGUGAUAGUAUUUAAUAUUUGAUGCUUUCAAUAAUACCUUCGAACACCAGAACAUACUAACUUUCAUCGCAAUUCGUCAAAGCCAAUAGAGGCGAGCUUUAAUUUUCAUAGCAGAAGUCUAUUUGUUAAUUUGAAUUUUUACUAUAAAAGAUGAUAAAGUAAAGUAGUAAUAAUAUGUACAAUCCGAUCCAAAAAUCAGAUCAUCAAAUCAAUCCGAACUUUAAAAUCCGGUCCAAUAUGAUAUAAUUCGGAUCGAAUUCGGAUUGCAUUUUGUAGAACUCAAAAUUCGAUAUUUUAUUCCGAAAUAUUCUAAAUCCGAUCCAACCCUACUAGUAAGUAUCAAGACUAACCUCGAUGGAGUAGUAACAAGAAACAGUCAAGACACUCAGUGGUCUAAUAAACAGAACAAGUAUAAGAAUAAAAUCUACUUUAUACACACACACACACACACACACACACACACACACAUAUAUAUAUAUAUAUAUAGUGUAUAUUAAAAAGAACAGAGGAAGGAGCCUUGACAUCAAGGUUUGGAACACACCGACGAUUCGGGAGUCAUUUUUUUUUUAUUAGAUGAAGCCGAAGAAGGGGAUGUUCUUCUCAAAGAAAAAGACUCCCGAACCCAGGGAAAGAGUUUGUUUUGCUCCCGUAGAGCAUAUCAUAAUUAGACUAGUGGCAUAAAGAAACCCUACCUUAGGGGAUAGCCCAUAGGGAACGUCUCUUCGCUCCUACUAAACUAUCUCCUUAUAGCUCCAACUCUUCGACAGGACACAUUCCUACUAAAGGCUACCCGGUUCGAGUAGGAGAGAGUAAGAUAUAGGUUCACAGUUCGUCGUCGUCGUGAAUUAUGUGAGAUUGGUUCGUAACGUCAAUUUUAAUGAAAAAAAAGGAAUGCCUUUAAGUGAGAGCAGAAUGUAGGAACGAAGCUUCCCGGAGUCCAUCGAUUCAUUCCCAA